UACGAAGGGGGCUAGCGUUGCUCGGAAUUACUGGGCGUAAAGCGCACGUAGGCGGCUUUCUAAGUCGGGGGUGAAAUCCUGGAGCUCAACUCCAGAACUGCCUUCGAUACUGGAGAGCUCGAGUCCGGGAGAGGUGAGUGGAACUGCGAGUGUAAGAGGUGAAAUUCGUAGAUAUUCGCAAGAACACCAGUGGCGAAGGCGGC
rnacentral:rRNA from 1 species